GAGAUCCCAGGGAGCUUCCCCUCAGCAGUAUCUCCACUGGACAAGUUUGUGGGAUGGUGUGGCAGUCCAAUAAUGGCUCAUGAUCUGUGUAAGGUUGAGGAGCUCAUGUUCUUCAAGUUUGGGAAUCCAGAAUGUGACUGGUCUGGCCCUGUUGAUCAUGGAAGGGGAAAUGGAGACUGGCAGCUGAAGCUCUCCAACAGGAAUGGGACAUCCUCCACACUGCAUCAGUAAUGUGGAACAAAGAUAUUUGGUGUGUGACGAUCCUCUGACCUGUCAUGUCCUUGCCCCUGAUCUUGUAACAAAGUGAAGUUAUCACUGGAUGUCUUUGUAUACAGCUAUGAUCUGUUCUCUAGUGUUGUGGUACCAAGGGAUAACAUCUUGAUGCUUUAUUGAUCAGUGGGAGGAUAGUAAUUUAAGGUACUGUAAUCCUCAGUGGCAGCUUUGCUUGGAUGACCAUUUUCGUAACUUCCAGUAUUUUACAUCAGUUUGGGUAAUGCAGGUCCUAAAAUGAUUUCAGUAUAGAAGCUGCUGUGCUCCAGUUCCCCAAAAGCAGGGCUGCAAGAGUCUCUUCUUAAUCCAGAGCACAUACAGCUUUGUUACUAAAGUGCAGGUAGAGUACAUUUGAGUGACUUAAUAGAUUUAAUUGCUGUCCAGUACAUGGUUAAGUUGCAAUUUAGUACAACCGCUUCACAUGUGGCUUUGGGGAGUGAGGGGAAGGCAUGGAAUUACUUGGUAACUUAACAAAUGUAGAGGGUUUAACAAAGCUUGCAUUAGUGUUGCAUAUGCAGACCUUCCUUGAAGGUGUGCAAGAAUAGAGCUGGUCCUUAACAUUUCAGGACCUAAUAGUUUUGAUGGUUAGAAGGGUUGUACCCCCACUGUAGUCACUUUACUACCAUGCAAAACUGUCCUUUUCAUAGUUUUUGUCCCAAGUAUUUUAUAAAUUGCUUGCGAUUGACUUCAUCUGUUGGGGGAGGGAAUGCACCAACCCCUGCCAAUAUAGCCUCUACCAGCUAGAGAAGUGAGAUGUAUAAUGAAGGGGAAAUUACAGUAAUGGUCUGGAUUUUCAUCUUCUGUACUAAUCUUGAGUAAGCUUAGACUUUCUUUGUAUGAGAUCAAGCUAUAAGGUAGUAAUACUGUUCUUGUUUUUCCAGAUCUGCUUCUGAACUGAAGCGGUGGGGAGUUUCUGUUUAACAAAGCUUAGAAACCGGAGACGAGCGCUAUUGUCGGCUGUGAGGCUGAAGUACCUGUAGCUCCUAUUGGUCAGUUGUUUAUAAACUGAGGAGAGGUUUCUAUUGGUCAACAAGAGGAGGCACCUGUUCAAUUCCUAUUGGCCAGACGUAAGGAACUGAGCAACCAAUCAAAUCGUUACCCAGGUAGCCGGUGACGCUAGAUGACAGUCUUCAUAUCCUCCUGUAUGAAAGAGAGGAUAUUUGAAGUUCCUGAACGUAUAGAAGUAGUAGGAUUACAGACGCAUUUAAAUUAAAUAGAAGGCAACCUUCUAGCCUCAGAAUUUACGUCUUUAUAAAUUAUAACAUUUUGACCAUAAACGAAUUGGAGCAGAGGUCUUCUGUUUGACAACAUAAUCCACCUAUAACGAACAUCGUUGUGUGUGUACAUACACACGUGUUUCGUCUGUGUAUUAAAUGGUGUUAAUUUUGAACGCUGUGGACGUGGUUUCUAAUGCAAACUCUUCGCUAGAAGAGCCUUGAGCCGUGUUACUGUGACAGAGGUGUAGAAGCCAGAAAAUACAUUAUACUGUAGCGCAUACGCACGAUGGAUUUUCUUUUUUAAAAAAUAAAUGGUUACAUUUUU